UUACAUUGUCUAAUACACUCAGUGAUAAAGGUAUGGGAUUCUGGGUAAUCCACAGCAGAUCUAUGGAGAAUUGCUGUGUGGAUGAGUUGAAAAUUGAUUGGUCCCGGGAUAGAAAUGUGAGUGCUAUUUAUAUCCGGUCGACUACUCAUCAUUCAUCCAUACUGUGUCCCCCCCCCAUGACUGCAGGUCACUGAUACUCCACUUGAUGUGGAAAUUGUCGAACCAGAUCAGAACGCCUUCGAAGACCACCUUCAGGCACGGACUGAGGUUUUUGACCAGGUGAGACUUGAACCUGGACAGGGCACAUGAGAAGGAAAGCCACCUGAGAAGAAUCAAGGGGACCAAGUGCUUCGACAUCUGGGUGAAUGACUUGGGUUGGAAGAAGGACGAAAGGAAGGCGAGACCUGGGAAAGCUUGGUGCUUUUUCGCUCCUAGCUGGGGUCAACAUCCGUUAAGGGACCAUCCCUUAUAACCCCACUAACAUCAAAUAUUAGACAGGAUCCAAGGAUUCUGCCUAACACCCAGACAUGGAUCCACCUGAUGUUCUCCAUUAUCAACCACCCUCCAACUUUUCAUUACAUGAAAAAUGUAAAGAAGAAAUUCAAAGACAACUCAGUAAUGAACGUUUCUAUAGAAAACUGAGUGUUGAUCCCACACAGGUGUUCCAAAAGGAUAUAUGCUCUAAUCUGGAGCCCUAUUAAACCACCUCAUCUCAAAACCUGAA